UACGUAGGGGGCAAGCGUUGUCCGGAUUUAUUGGGCGUAAAGAGCGUGUAGGCGGCCAGGUAGGUCGGUUGUGAAAACUGGAGGCUUAACCUCCAGACGUCGACCGAAACCAUCUUGCUAGAGUCCGGAAGAGGAGAGUGGAAUUCCUGGUGUAGCGGUGAAAUGCGCAGAUAUCAGGAAGAACACCCGUGGCUAAGGCGGCUCGAUAGUACGGUAGUGACGCUGAGACGCGAAAGCGUGGGGAGCGAACAGG
rnacentral:rRNA from 1 species